AAAAAAAAAAAAAAAAAAAGAACGCUUCCACUUCAAGCUUCUUCUUCACUCUUCAUCUCUCAAGCAACAUUGUAAAAUUGAAAAAGAGAAACUCAUGAACCAAAUCUCAAAUACAACUAUAGGUGCACAUCUCAAGUAGUAGAAAAGCCAAGAAGUAUUAGGAGACAAAGAAAAAAUUGUGAUUCACUCAUCUUUACAGAAAAAUAAAAAAAUACUCUCAGGUUAGUUUCACCUUUUUAUCUUUAAUUUUCUUUUUAAUUUUAUUUUAACUUUCUUAGAUUUAACUGUCUAAUUGUGUAAAUUUAUUUUCUUUCAUAUUUGUCUUUUAUUGAAAAUAUAACCUAAAUUCCCAAAUUUUUUCCAUAUCUACACAUUUAUUAUUCAUGCUAUUUUAUUUUCAAUUUUUUGUUAUUUAGAGGAAUGUAGCCAUUUAAAAUUAGUAUCAAAAUUAGA
rnacentral:misc_RNA from 1 species